AGAAAUACGGUCCAUUUUGAUUCAACUGGACUUGGAAGUCCAAAACAAGUAACAAACAAAACCCAAACACAAUAAAUGUUAAGACAAAACCCAAACCAAACAAAAGCAAAACAUCACCCAACAAAAAGUCAAAUAGGAAAACAAAUUAGAGACAGUAAAGUAACAAAGGAAAGCACAAAAACACAUCUAGAAGCUUCUUCCAAACCCUUCAGUGACCAGCAACCCAAAACGGCCAAAAACCUUACCAAGAUUGGCAAUCGGAGCCACCAACUAGAGGAAUAGAGUUGAGAUUCAACGCUUAGAGUGACAAACAUUCUCAACUGAGAACUUCGAACAGAUAGGGAGGCAACUACAGCGGUUGGUGGAAACGACGAUUUAGAUCAGUCAGUUCCAAAACCCGAAGCAGAGCAUCCUCUACCCAAAAGGAAUCCUCCGAGCGCUUCAUUCCAUUAGGUACCAUCGCAUACACUGUUGUAUUUCCUUCUUUAGCGACAAAUUCGAAAUGACAAGAUGUGAAACCCCUCACUAGAUUCUUUACAUCCUGUUUCAUUAUCAAAAUUUAAGUAGAAGAAAAUUGGGAGAGAAGAAGAAGAACAGAGAAGAAGAGAGAAUUUUGAAUUAAGAAGAGAGAAUUCUGAAUUAUUUGUGUACUUUGCAUAACUAUUUUUCUGCAUACAUCUCAGACUUAAAAAGGAAAAUAACAGAAAAAGAAUGUGGGUUCAUUCUGUUACCAUCAAAAUGCUCUGUUUCACUAAUUCUUUACGCACCGUUUUGUUUAAUUGCAACUAACCACUUAAACUGACAUUUUACCCUCCUUAUUUCUAUUUAAUAUUCUAGCCCAUAACAUACUGCCUCCUAGAAAAAAAUCCUUGUCCUCAAGGAUGAAAGUGAGGAAAAUUGGCCUGAAGUAGGUGGAGAUGUUCCCAAGUAGCAUCUUCAGGAAAAGAAUCAAUCCAUUCAACUAGAACUUCUGUAACAGAUGUGCUCCCUCUUUUGACUAUCCUUCUAUCCACAAUUCGGACUGGCUCUUUCUCCAUUGUACCGUAAGCAUCAACCAAUAAUAUGAGCUCCCUCUUUAGGAAUGAAGGCAACGAAAAAGUAGCCUUAUGCAUCUCAGAGUUGUAAUAUCUAAGUUCUCUCUUAUGCUGAUGAGCUCCUUCUAACUUUUCAAUAGGGUUAAUGGGAUUCAAAAAAUCAACUGCUGGCCCCUCUGUUGAGCAUAUCAAAAAACCAAUCACAGCACUUGGAUAUGUUGGAACACUCGCCCAUGCACAAUGAAUAGAACCUUUGAAUAUUUCACGGAAAAUAGAGAUCAUAUCAUCAAUUAGAUGUGUAUGAAGCCACACACUCUCUUCCAUGUUACAUAGGACACCGCUAGGCCUUAAAGCUCUAGCUAACGUAUCAAAAAAUGGUUUCUCUACAAGCUCUUGAGCAGGACCUACAAGAUCUGAUGAAUCAACAAUGAUUGCAUCAUACGUCCCUUCUGGAACAUUACGAAGAAACUCAACAGCAUCACCAACAUGAAAACAAACACGGGAGUUUUCAAAUCCAGUAGCCAGUUCUGGAAAAAAACUUCUUAGAAACCUCUAUAACCAUCCUAUCUAUUAUCAAUGUGCUUAGCAGAGCUGUGCUGAGAAAUCUCUGUAAGAACCCCACCAUCACCACCUCCCACAACCAGAACAGUUUUGGGAGAUGGAACUGAGCAAAGGGGAAGAUGAGUUAUCAUCUCCCGAUAUGCAAAUACAUCCUUCUUAUUCAGCUGAACUAUACCAUCAAGAACAAGCACCUUCCCGUAGCUUGAUGACUAAAAAAUAAGAACCUCUUGAUAGUUUGACCUUGCUUUGUACAAAUUACUUUCAACUUUCAGAGAAUGUGCUUCUUCUUAUUGUUUCAAAUUCACCAGCUCUUUCAUGGGGUUGCCAAACUGUCCAAACCCAAAACGAUCCUGUAGACUCUUCAUGUAGGCUGGCCAUGACAACAUUUGAAGAUCAACAUUAUGUUGGGAAUAAAAUUGAUGCCAUUCCAGUGCUCGUCCCUCCAAAUUUAGCAUAACCGUGCAAAUCUUGUUAGAUUCUGGUGUACCCUCAGCUUCAAACUACUGUUCCAAUUUAGUCCACCAUCCUCUAAAAUCACUGCAAUCGAACCUAGGACAUUCAAUCCUACUUGUCUUUGCCGACGCGCCACCCAUAUAUGACUGAUUCUAUCGGUACACACUACUUGCCUCUGUCAGUUUAGGAUCCACUAGCGCCUGUGGAAACUUUGUCUCUUUAGGUAAAAACUCAAGGGAAGCACCUAAGACUCCUUUUCCCUUGUCUGUGGCACCGUUACCAAGAGAUCCAGUUGGUGGAGGACCAAAAUGUUGGCCCAGCAACGCCUGUAAGUCCCCACGAAACUCCUCCUUAAACUCCUGAAAUUUGGUGUCCAUCUUAGCUUCUAAAUGAAACAUCGCUUCUUGUAGUUUGAAAAUUUCUUGUUGCAUGCUGCCCACCUCCUUCUGUAAUCGAGUUAAAACACCAUCGUUGGCCAUUGUAGGGAUUGAAAAAGCUCUGAUAACUUUGUUGCGUUAUUAAAAUUUAAGUAGAAGAAAAUUAAGAGAGAAGAAGAAGAACAGAGAGGAAGAGAGAAUUCUAAAUUAAGAAGAGAAAAUUCUGAAUUAUCUGUGUACUUUGCAAAAUUAUUUUUCUGUAUACAUCUCAAACUUAAAAAGGAAAAUAACAGCAAAAGAAUGUGGGUUCAUUCUGUUACCAUCAAACACUCUGUUUCACUAAUUCUCUACGCACCGUUUUGUUUAAUUGCAACUAACCGCUUAAACUGACAUUUUACCCUCCUUAUUUCUACUUAAUAUUCUAGCCCAUAACACAUCCCAGGUAAUCGGUCUCAUCUCUAAAUAAUCCUUCAUAGAUGCUUGGAGAUUCCUAAUAACCAUUUUUGAAUUACUUUUUGGGAUUACUCUCAAGAAACCCAUAUCCCUCAUGAACUGAAGACCAUGCAAAACAACCACUUUUUCGACUAACACCACCUUCUUAACAAGGUUAUGCAUUUUGAAUCUCAAACCCAUUAAAUUUCCAUCAUCAUUCCUAAUUAGAAACCCUAAUACUACGUGAUGAUUUGCCUCAAAAAACCCAGUGUUCACAUUCACUUUGACCCAAUUCAUAGGCAGUGGCUCCCAUUUAAUCAAGACUCGAGGUUUGGGAUGCUUCAAUAUACCAGUCAUCUCCCUAUAAUCCCUACCCUAUCCCUGAAUAAAGGUAAUAACCUCCUUCGCACUUCGUGUUUUUCUAUCAUUAAGUAACUUGUUGUGGGCAAACUAGAUUGCCCAUAUUGUAAUGGCGAUUUCCUCUUUAGUAUUACUGGCAGAAUUUACGAAUAACCAAUUUAACCAUUCGUUAAAAUUCAAAUCCGCAACAUAACUUGGCCAUCGAUAAUUAAACUUUGACCAUACUUGCAUAGAAAACGUGCAGUCUCGCACAACAUGAACAGUCGAUUCACUACAAUUUCGACAGCGUGUGCAAUUAUUUUCGUGCAAAAUUCUUCUAAAAUGAAAAUUGUUAGCCAAUCUCCAUAGUAAAAUGCGAAUUUUUUCAAAGCACAUUACACUCCAAAUUUGCUUAAAAUUAAACUGCUCCAAAUUACUCAAACUCUAAAAGGGCUUUAUAACCAGUUUUGACAAAAUAAGUACCCGAAUUUUCUCUAAUCCAAACCGCUUUAUCGAAUUGAUUUGUAGUAGGGAGAGGGAUACUUACAAUCUUAUUUCCUUCUUCCACCAGAAAUGUUGAAUAGAUUAGUUGUCUAUCCCAUCAAUUUGGAUUUAGGAUAAUCAAAUAAUUCAAAUACUCCAAUCCCUCAACUCUACUCGAACUAACUUGUGCUCCACUCCUUCCCAGUAGCUAAUUAUCCUCCCAUAUCAAAAUUGAUAACCUUUAACCAAUCCUCCACCCAAGACCAGAUUUUAGCAGAUCUUUGGAACACCAUAUACUUCUCCAAAUCAGAGAUGGGUUAAAACCCAAUGGGGCAUCUAAAAAGUUAGACCUAUAUAAUACUUUACUCGAAGUAAUCUGGCUGUUAAAAAGUCUGGAGUUUCUAUCAGUUGCCAUCCUUGCUUUAAUAAUAAAUUAAAUUUCGGAAACCCAUACAUCUAUCCCCUUUUAGAAUACAGUGAGUUCCAAGAACACCAAUGUAAACCCUUUCAUCUAGUUUUAUUUUGUCACCAAAAUCUAGCAAUAACCACUUCAAGUUAUUUACAAAAAGAAUUGGGUAGUAAAAAAUAAGACAUUGCAAACAUGGGGAUUGCCUGAAACACUUGUAAUACCCUUAACCCGUCUCUAUUACCGAAUUAGAGUUACGAGUGUUAUUGAGAAGAAUAGAACAUUUCACUUCAUUUUAGAACAAUUAUACAAAUAAUUUAUAACAUAUAACAAAUAGACUAAUUCAUGAUAUAAAUACACCUAUGGGCCUUAAAAUGGGCUUACGAGGCCUUAAAAACAGUUUGAGGAUGAUCUAGGAUCAAAUCGAAACAAAAUAGAAAAUUUUAGAAAAAAUUAAAAUUUUCAAAAUAGAUGUCACACGACUGUGUGACUAAGCCAAGACCGUGUGAACAUUCGAAGUCUGGACACAAAGUCGUGUCCUAGCUCGUGUGUUCGCCUGUGUGAAUAUUCAAAAUAGGGUCAUACGACUGUGUCACAAGUCAUGUGCCAAAUCGUGUGUGAAUUCGAAGUUGGGUCACACGGUUGUGUCGCAGGUCGUGUAACAAUCUGUUUUGGCUCACACGGUUAUGUCACGGACCAUGUGCAAGGUCAUGUGGAUAUUUCACUUAAAAUCAAUAAUUACACAUUGUCGUGCAUGGUGACAGUGUGUGGCACACAGUCGUGUGACAACUCGUGUCCUAGGCCGUGUGCACCAUUUUUUACCAGUAAACCAAGCAAUCUCAUACACCAUUCCUUGCACAGCAAGACAUACCAUAUCUAUAUCAAUUUUUAGGUUCAAAAACACAUUCAAAUCAUCAAUUACAUGCUAAAAUUUCAUCCAUAUUGCCUAACCAAUAUGUCAUUCAAAGGCAUCGCAAUUAAAGAUUAUUAAUUCAAAUAACCAAAAGAACACAUGACAUUUACCACCUAUUCAUAAUUAAUCUUCAACCAAAAUGACACAAACAUGAGCACUUUCAUCAAGUUAUCAUUAUAGGCAUCAUGACCUAAAUCAUAGUCUUAAGGCUUAUAACCUAAGUAUAUUAAAUACAUACCUUCAAAAUAACCAUUUCACUAACAUAACCUUUAUAGAAUAACAUUUACAUAUUCACAACAAAACACCUAUAUAUAUACAUGCCACAUCCCAAAAUGAAAUAUAACAACUACUAAAUAGUUGGAUAAUGUGGGCUUUUUCUGAUCCGUCUAGUCAGUCCACAACUUAGACAACUACAAAAGAUUAUAAAUGGAACAAGUAAGUUUAAGAAGCUUAGUAAGUUCAUAGUUUAAGUCAUCAAACUAAACCUACCUUAAUUGUCAUAAAAAAUAUAAAGAGAUAACAUACAAUUUCUGAUAGCCAAAUACACAUUCACAAAUCUCAUUAGUUCAUGAUCACAUAUUAACGUAUAACAUGAUAAUCCUCAUCACAAAUAACUUAUCAAUUCCAUAAUUAGCAUAUCAUCAAUAUAAAUAUGCUCAUAUAUAAACAAAUAUUUCAUUGAACAUUUAACACUUUUAAAUAUCUUCAAUAUGCAUUAACAUUUAAAUCCACAAGUCAACUAUACAUUAACAUUUAGCCUGAUGAACUAAGUAACUCGACUCAGGUAACUACACCACACCAGAGGCAUUAUAGAUGUAUAACAAAGGCAUCGAAGUGCAGACAGAGGCACAAAUGUGCGAUCAGAGGCAUCGAAGUGCAAACAGAGGCACCAGAGUGCAAAUCCCAUACAAACGCACAUAGUAACCUUAUUGGCAUGUCAAUCGUAUCCUACACAAUUGCUAAGUUUGAC
rnacentral:lncRNA from 1 species